rnacentral:lncRNA from 1 species
UAACACAUCUGCAAUCCCAGAGAGCAGAGGAAUUCAUGGUUCCAUCCCCACCUCUCUGGAGAAGCUUGAGGCUCUCGUGGUCUGGGGCAUCUGGCAUGAAGUGGAUAGUGGAGUCACUAGUAUCAUAGUAGGCAAUGCCCAAGCUGCUGGAUGGUUCCAGGAGAGGGCAGCGUUGCCUGUCACCUGGUAAAUUAAGGCACGAUACCCUGUGGGUAGUCAUGCCAGCCAGCCAAAGUCAAUAUUG